UACGAGGGGGCUAGCGUUGCUCGGAAUCACUGGGCGUAAAGGGCGCGUAGGCGGCCAUUCAAGUCGGGGGUGAAAGCCUGUGGCUCAACCACAGAAUUGCCUUCGAUACUGUUUGGCUUGAGUUUGGUAGAGGUUGGUGGAACUGCGAGUGUAGAGGUGAAAUUCGUAGAUAUUCGCAAGAACACCAGUGGCGAAGGCGGACCAACUGGACCAACACUGACGCUGAGGCGCGAAAGCGUGGGGAGCAAACAGG
rnacentral:rRNA from 1 species